rnacentral:tRNA from 1 species
AGGGGCGUAGUUCAAUAUGGUAGAGCAUUGGUCUCCAAAACCAAAAGUUGUGGGUUCGAAUCCCUCCGCCCCUGCGA